rnacentral:misc_RNA from 1 species
GAUGAAGAACGUAGCGAAAUGCGAUAAGUAGUGUGAAUUGCAGAAUUCAGUGAAUCAUCGAAUCUUUGAACGCACAUUGCGCCCCUUGGUAUUCCAUGGGGCAUGCCUGUUCGAGCGUCAUUUGUACCUUCAAGCUCUGCUUGGUGUUGGGUGUUUGUCCUUGCUCUAGUGGCGGGACUCGCCUUAAAGUAAUUGGCAGCCAGUGUUUUGGUUUUGAAGCGCAGCACAAGUCGCGAUUCAAGUCUAUACGCUAGUUUCCACAAGUCUUUUAUCACUUUUGACCUCGGAUCAGGUAGGGAUACCCGCUGAACUUAAGCAUAUCAAAAGCGGAGGA